rnacentral:rRNA from 1 species
UACGGGGGGGGCAAGCGUUGUUCGGAAUUACUGGGCGUAAAGGGCUCGUAGGCGGCCAACUAAGUCAGACGUGAAAUCCCUCGGCUUAACCGGGGAACUGCGUCUGAUACUGGAUGGCUUGAGAUUGGGAGAGGGAUGCGGAAUUCCAGGUGUAGCGGUGAAAUGCGUAGAUAUCUGGAGGAACACCGGUGGCGAAGGCGGCAUCCUGGACCAACACUGACGCUGAGGCACGAAGGCCAGGGGAGCAAACAGG